GGAGGAUGUAUAGCGAAGCUAGUUGCAUUAAAUUCGAUUAAUUCGAAGUUAUUGCAGCAUCGACUAUGUCGAAUAAAGUUCUAGGUAGAGUUAUGAUAAUGACAUUUUCUAUCUAUGUGUCUUGACCAAAUCACGUGCCAGCAGUCGCGGUAAUACGUGGAAGACUAGUGUUAUUCAUCUUUAAUAGGUUUAAAGGGUACUUAGACGGUAUUUUUAGCCCAAAUAAAAACAAAGGGUACUAAUUAUACUAGAGUUUUAUGAGAGGGGGGUGCGUACUAAUGGUGUAGAGAUGAAAUUCUGUCAUACCAUUAUGACAGGCGACGGCGAAAGCAACCUUUAGUUAAAAACUGACGUUAAAGGACGAAGGCUUUGUGUCACCAACAGGAUUAGAUACCCAAGUAGUCUGAGCAGACAAUUAUGAAUGCCAUAGAUAAGAAAUCCAUAGAUAAUGAAAGAAGAAAACAUGUACUUUUCAGAAUGCCCUAUUUGGGCAUUGGUUUAUUAAAACCAAAAUAAACUUCUCCUCUUCACUUCUUCAUUUAUUGAAGAAAGAGAGAAGUCGAGAUGAAAAGAAUGGCUCGUAAUCUUAUCUAUCAUCAUCAUCUUUCAGAUGAUGAAGAAUACAUUUUCUUUUAGAGAUCGACUAUGUCGAAGAAAAAAAACAAAAGAAGAUAGGAUGUAUUUUUGUCUAUAAAUGAAAGUGUAAGCAUUCCACCUCAAGAGUAAAGUGGCAACGCACAAACUGAAAUCAUUAGACCGUUUCUGAAACCAGUAGUGAAGUAUGUUGUUUAAUUUGAUGGUCCGCAAAAAACCUUACCACAAUUUGUAUAUUAUUAGCUUAAUACAAGAGUUGCACGGCUGUCUUCAGUUAAUGUCGUGAGAUUUUGGUUAGUUCCAUAAAAUUAACGUAAACCCUUACUUUAUUUAUAUUAUAAAGUAGUUCACCGCUAUAUUGGAUAUGAUAAGAGG
rnacentral:rRNA from 1 species